rnacentral:tRNA from 6 species
GCCGGUGUAGCUCAGCGGUAGAGUAGCUGAUUCGUAAUCAGUUGGUCGUGAGUUCAAAUCUCACCAUCGGCU